rnacentral:rRNA from 1 species
AAUUCGAUGCAACGUCGAAAACCUUACCACCUUUGACAUGGCAGGAAGUUACCAGAGAUGGUUCGUGCUCGAAAGAGAACCUGCACACAGGUGCUGCAUGGCUGUCGUCAGCUCGUGUCGUGAGAUGUUGGGUUAAGUCCCGCAACGAGCGCAACCCUUGCCAUCAGUUGCUACGAAAGGGCACUCUGAUGGGACUGCCGGUGACAAACCGGAGGAAGUGGGGAUGACGUCAAGUCCUCAUGGCCCUUAUAGGUGGGGCUACACACGUCAUACAAUGGCCGGUACAAAGGGCAGCCAACCCGCGAGGGGGAGCCAAUCCCAUAAAGCCGGUCGUAGUCCGGAUCGCAGUCUGCAACUCGACUGCGUGAAGUCGGAAUCGCUAGUAAUCGUGGAUCAGCAUGUCACGGUGAAUACGUUCCCGGGUCUU